GUUAACUUUCAAUUUUGGACAAACAGCAAUUUUUUGGAAUCAGUAUGUCCUAAAUAUUGCAUGGGGCACAUUGCUGCUAAAAUUCUUUUUGCUGUUUAUCUGAAAUUCAAAGUUAACUAUGUGUUUAUUUGCUAAAUCUGGCAGCCCAGUGAGGCAUGGCGGCCUGACUUCUCCUGUGAGCCUGCUUCUUUCCCUUAUUCCACAGCUGUUGAUUCUCAAGAGCACUCCCCAACCAACUCCCGGCAUGAAAUGGUUGUCUCAGAGUCUACUUUCUCAGUAACCAGCCUGCAAUAGAGAAUUAACAUAAAACACCUUUUCUGGCCCUGCCCCGCCUUCAGAACCAAUUGAGAGAUUGGCACGUGGGUCCAAACGACAGAGAUCUCUUUAGGUUGAUUAUUGAAGAGUGGAGACUGGAGAACGGGGCUAAGUCUGAGGGCCUACCGGGUUUCCUGAAGUGUCAUAUACUCAGAGCGCCUCACCGAGCCGGCUCUGUAGCUGGUCCUGUCACCUGUUCACCAAUUAGAUUACCAGCAAGGCAUCAUGUCUGUGCUGUGCCUUCCUGAGAAUAGAUGGAACCCUAGGUUUGGAAAGUACUAGAAAGCUCAGCUGCUGCACUGCCUCUUUCCACUCUUCAAUCUUGAAUCAUUCCUCUUCACUGUCUUCCAAGAUUUGCAUGUUGCUACGGUGCUUUUCCUGUGAGUUCCUGGCUUUCCAAUACAGAGUUCCGUAUUUAUUGGGAUUAAACAAGGUAUUUAGUUUGUCAGGUGGUGCCUUCAAGGAAGCGAAGGGGGUGCGGUUCACAGGAAGAAAUGAGCCCAAAGGAGACUGCCAAUUACUGCACCUCAGCAAAGAUGUUAUGCAACCAAGUGGACAUUUGAAAGAAGUAGAGGAAAGGUCAUUGCAGCAGCAGAUUGGAACAGAAAUAGCAAGAGCUAUAGAAAGGCAAUUGAUCAGUUGAUGAAGUCAUGGUGCCUUAUGUCUGUACAGUGAGAGCUUUCGGAGAGAUUGAGAAUUCUCUGCAGUUGAAUGUAAUUCAAAUACAAAAUUAAAAAAAAGAAGACCAGUUAAAGAUGAACACAUGUAAAUGAACAUGGAAAACAGAUUGGUGUGGGACAUGAAAGAGAAUUAGCACAGCCCAGAGAAAAUACAUGGUGACCGGUGUGGAAAUAAAUGAAGACCAAUCGAAUGAGAACA
rnacentral:lncRNA from 1 species